rnacentral:rRNA from 1 species
GUGAGGAAUUUUGCGCAAUGGGGGCAACCCUGACGCAGCGACGCCGCGUGGAGGACGAAGUCUUUCGGGAUGUAAACUCCUGUCAGUGGGGACGAUAAUGACGGUACCCACAGAGGAAACACCGGCUAACUCCGUGCCAGCAGCCGCGGUAAGACGGAGGGUGCAAGCGUUGUUCGGAAUUACUGGGCGUAAAGCGUAUGUAGGCGGCAAGUUAAGUUCAAUGUUAAAGCCCACGGCUCAACCGAGGAGAUGCAUUGAAUACUGGCUAGCUAGAGGGUGUUAGAGGAAGACGGAAUUCCCAGUGUAGCGGUGAAAUGCGUAGAUAUUGGGAGGAACAUCGGUAGCGAAAGCGGUCUUCUGGGACAUACCUGACGCUGAGGUACGAAAGCGUGGGGAGCAAACGGGAUUAGAAACCCGAGUAGUCC